AUUGAACGCUGGCGGCAUGCUUUACACAUGCAAGUCGAGCGGCAGCGCGGGGGCAACCCUGGCGGCGAGCGGCGAACGGGUGAGUAAUGCAUCGGAACGUACCCUGGAGUGGGGGAUAACGCCGCGAAAGCGGCGCUAAUACCGCAUAUGCCCUGAGGAGGAAAGUGGGGGACCGCAAGGCCUCACGCUCUGGGAGCGGCCGAUGUCCGAUUAGCUAGUUGGUGGGGUAAAGGCUUACCAAGGCGACGAUCGGUAGCUGGUCUGAGAGGAUGAUCAGCCACACUGGGACUGAGACACGGCCCAGACUCCUACGGGAGGCAGCAGUGGGGAAUUUUGGACAAUGGGGGCAACCCUGAUCCAGCCAUGCCGCGUGAGUGAAGAAGGCCUUCGGGUUGUAAAGCUCUUUUGGUCGGGAAGAAAGUGCCCUGCUUAAUACGCGGGGUAUUUGACGGUACCGGCAGAAUAAGCACCGGCUAACUACGUGCCAGCCGCCGCUGUAA
rnacentral:rRNA from 1 species